rnacentral:lncRNA from 1 species
CGUCGUCUAAACCAAGCUCAAAUGCCCUUACUCGGUCCAAACCCGUUCCCCCUUAGAGACACGGAAAUAACGUUCAUUCCUCCUAUUUUUCGAUCCGAGCACAAUUCCCUCUCCACAGUUCAUCUUCUUCUAUAAUAAAAAACCCAAAAACUCCAUUAGAUGGAGGACACACAUCAGAUCCCUUCCCCUCCCAAGCUAUAAGGCCCCUUCCCAGAACUUCUUCUUCUCCAUGCCUCAAAAAUCCAUCCCGAUGCCUUAUCUCUUUCGUUCAUCUUGACACACGCACACUAAAGGGGGAAAGAAAACAUACUCAAAUUCAAAAUUUUUAGAUCUAGAAAUAUCGAAGAAAUCCAAACAGAAAACAAAACAAAAAAAAUGUGUUUGAAGGUUGUUCGAAUUUCUACUCCUUUGCUUCAAUUUUUCUGAAAUUUCAAGUGACAUUUGGGCUUAGAGCCUCUGAUUUUGGCACUAUCGAAGAAAUCUGGCUAAUUAAAUCGUUAUUCGCUGUUGUCGAGUUGAACUUGUUUGGUCGCUGGUCUGUUGCUGUUGUGUUGCUGGUUCUCCUCUCAUAAUUUCAGAAGUUUGUUGUUGUUUUUUUUUUCAGUUAGUUUCAGCCGCCUAGUUUUCGUUCCUUCUUUCUAUAAUUAUAGAAUUCAAUCUUUCCUUGACUUGUUGAUGACCACUUUCACUGCUUGGUAUCUUAUUGCUGCACCACUAGUCCAUCACAAGGUAUCUUUUCCAUUAGUGUAUUUCUUUUCAAUAAUAUUCCAUGUUCGAGCUUAGGAAGAGUAAUGAAUAUCCGUAGUUUGUUUUAGUUGAGUAAAGCCCUUUAGAAUAGUUCGAGGUGCGUCAUGCCAAAUAAAAUCUCAAAUGCAUGGCCCUCGCUUAAUUACAAUCCUUAGAAAUCGGGACCUGUCAUUUAGCGAAUCUUCAUGGCCUCCUGCAAAGAUGUCAACAUGGUAGUUGCUUUAGGCUCG